rnacentral:rRNA from 1 species
AUGGAAGUUGAAAUACAUGGAAACUGUGGUCGUGCACUUUUUUUUGUUUCUAGUGUCUCUAUCAUUUGUGUUUGCAAAACGCAGAUGGGUAAGAAUAUUCGAGGUGAUAUUCGAGAUGCACAUCGGUUUGCCUCAGGGGAACGUUCCCCGUUGCAGGACGUAACAAACUCACCUCUAAAUGGAAAUGCGGAGAGUAAUUCUGCUGCUCAAAAUAAAAGUGGCCAAUCAUGGUACACCAGAUUGUCUGAUGACAAGAAAGCAGAGAUCCCCGAGAAGCGUCGUGUCCCCCGGCAACAGAAGAAUGUUGCGGCCGUACGAAGUCUAAACCAUGCCUAG